rnacentral:rRNA from 13 species
GGGUUGUGAGGUUAAGCGAAUAAGCGUACACGGUGGAUGCCUAGGCAAUCAGAGGCGAUGAAGGACGUGCUAAUCUGCGAAAAGCGUCGGUAAGGUGAUAUGAACCGUUAUACCCGACGAUAUCCGAAUGGGGAAACCCAGUAUCCAAUGGAUACUAUCAUUAACUGAAUCCAUAGGUUAAUGAGGCGAACCGGGAGAACUGAAACAUCUCAGUACCCCGAGGAAAAGAAAUCAACCGAGAUUCCCCUAGUAGCGGCGAGCGAACGGGGAGCAGCCCAGAGUCUUAAUCAAUAGCAGUGUCAGGAGAACGGUCUGGAAAGUCCGGCAGUAAAGGGUGAUAGCCCCGUAUCUGAAGAUGCUGUUGUUGUGAACUCGACGAGUAGGGCGGGACACGUGUUAUCCUGUCUGAAUAUGGGGGGACCAUCCUCCAAGGCUAAAUACUCCUGAUUGACCGAUAGUGAACCAGUACCGUGAGGGAAAGGCGAAAAGAACCCCGGCGAGGGGAGUGAAAAAGAACCUGAAACCGUGUACGUACAAGCAGUAGGAGCCUCUUUAUGGGGUGACUGCGUACCUUUUGUAUAAUGGGUCAGCGACUUAUAUUCUGUAGCAAGGUUAACCGUAUAGGGGAGCCGUAGGGAAACCGAGUCUUAACUGGGCGAAUGAGUUGCAGGGUAUAGACCCGAAACCCGGUGAUCUAUCCAUGGGCAGGUUGAAGGUUGGGUAACACUAACUGGAGGACCGAACCGACUAAUGUUGAAAAAUUAGCGGAUGACUUGUGGAUGGGGGUGAAAGGCCAAUCAAACCGGGAGAUAGCUGGUUCUCCCCGAAAGCUAUUUAGGUAGCGCCUCGUGAACUCAUCUUCGGGGGUAGAGCACUGUUUCGACUAGGGGGUCAUCCCGACUUACCAACUCGAUGCAAACUGCGAAUACCGAAGAAUGUUAUCACGGGAGACACACGGCGGGUGCUAACGUCCGUCGUGAAGAGGGAAACAACCCAGACCGCCAGCUAAGGUCCCAAAGUCAUGGUUAAGUGGGAAACGAAGUGGGAAGGCUCAGACAGCCAGGAUGUUGGCUUAGAAGCAGCCAUCAUUUAAAGAAAGCGUAAUAGCUCACUGGUCGAGUCGGCCCGCGCGGAAGAUGUAACGGGGCUAAACCAUGCACCGAAGCUGCGGCAGCGACACAAAGUGUUGUUGGGUAGGGGAGCGUUCUGUAAGCCUGCGAAGGUGUACUGUGAGGUAUGCUGGAGGUAUCAGAAGUGCGAAUGCUGACAUAAGUAACGAUAAUGCGGGUGAAAAACCCGCACGCCGGAAGACCAAGGGUUCCUGUCCAACGUUAAUCGGGGCAGGGUGAGUCGACCCCUAAGGCGAGGCUGAAAAGCGUAGUCGAUGGGAAACGGGUUAAUAUUCCCGUACUGGUGGUAACUGCGAUGGGGGAACGGAGAAGGCUAGGUUGUCCGGGCGACGGUCGUCCCGGUUCAAGCAGGUAGGCAGAGUGAUUAGGCAAAUCCGGUCACUUAAUGCUGAGAUGUGAUGACGAACCACCAAGGUGGUGAAGCAAUUGAUGCCCCGCUUCCAGGAAAAGCCUCUAAGCUUCAGGUUACCAACAAUCGUACCCCAAACCGACACAGGUGGUCAGGUAGAGAAUACUCAGGCGCUUGAGAGAACUCGGGUGAAGGAACUAGGCAAAAUGGUGCCGUAACUUCGGGAGAAGGCACGCUGGCGGUAGGUAAAGUCCCUUGCGGACGGCGCUGAAGCCAGUCGAAGAUACCAGCUGGCUGCAACUGUUUAUUAAAAACACAGCACUGUGCAAACACGAAAGUGGACGUAUACGGUGUGACGCCUGCCCGGUGCUGGAAGGUUAAUUGAUGGGGUCAGCCGUAAGGCGAAGCUCCUGAUCGAAGCCCCAGUAAACGGCGGCCGUAACUAUAACGGUCCUAAGGUAGCGAAAUUCCUUGUCGGGUAAGUUCCGACCUGCACGAAUGGCGUAAUGAUGGCCAGGCUGUCUCCACCCGAGACUCAGUGAAAUUGAACUCGCUGUGAAGAUGCAGUGUACCCGCGGCAAGACGGAAAGACCCCGUGAACCUUUACUAUAGCUUGACACUGAACAUUGAGCCUUGAUGUGUAGGAUAGGUGGGAGGCUUUGAAGUGUGGACGCCAGUCUGCAUGGAGCCAACCUUGAAAUACCACCCUUUAACGUUUGAUGUUCUAACCUAGGCCCAUAAACUGGGUCGGGGACCGUGUCUGGUGGGUAGUUUGACUGGGGCGGUCUCCUCCUAAAGAGUAACGGAGGAGCACGAAGGUUGGCUAAGCAUGGUCGGACAUCAUGCGGUUAGUGCAAAGGCAUAAGCCAGCUUGACUGCGAGAGUGACGGCUCGAGCAGGUACGAAAGUAGGUCUUAGUGAUCCGGUGGUUCUGAAUGGAAGGGCCAUCGCUCAACGGAUAAAAGGUACUCCGGGGAUAACAGGCUGAUACCGCCCAAGAGUUCAUAUCGACGGCGGUGUUUGGCACCUCGAUGUCGGCUCAUCACAUCCUGGGGCUGAAGUAGGUCCCAAGGGUAUGGCUGUUCGCCAUUUAAAGUGGUACGCGAGCUGGGUUUAGAACGUCGUGAGACAGUUCGGUCCCUAUCUGCCGUGGGCGUUGGAAGAUUGAGAGGGGUUGCUCCUAGUACGAGAGGACCGGAGUGAACGCACCACUGGUGUUCGGGUUGUCAUGCCAAUGGCAUUGCCCGGUAGCUAAGUGCGGAAGAGAUAACCGCUGAAAGCAUCUAAGCGGGAAACUUGCCUCGAGAUGAGUCUUCCCUGUCGCUUUAAGCGACCUAAAGGAACGUUUAAGACUAAGACGUUGAUAGGCUGGGUGUGUAAGCGUAGCGAUACGUUGAGCUAACCAGUACUAAUGAACCGUGAGGCUUAACCUGACAACACCGAAAGUGUUUUG